GACGAGGGGUCAAGCGUUGUUCGGAAUCAUUGGGCGUAAAGCGGGUGUAGGCGGCUCUAUAAGUCAGGAGUGAAAUCCCCGAGCUUAACUCGGGGAAGUGCUUUUGAUACUGCAGAGCUUGAAUGUGGGAGAGGAUAGUAGAAUUCCAGGUGUAGUGGUGAAAUACGUAGAUAUCUGGAGGAAUACCGGUGGCGAAGGCGGCUAUCUGGCCCAACAUUUGACGCUGAGACCCGAAAGCGUGGG
rnacentral:rRNA from 1 species